AUGAACGCUAGCUACAGGCUUAACACAUGCAAGUCGAGGGGCAGCAUGAACUUAGCUUGCUAAGUUUGAUGGCGACCGGCGCACGGGUGAGUAACACGUAUCCAACCUGCCGAUGACUCGGGGAUAGCCUUUCGAAAGAAAGAUUAAUACCCGAUGGCAUAGUUCUUCCGCAUGGUAGAACUAUUAAAGAAUUUCGGUCAUCGAUGGGGAUGCGUUCCAUUAGGUUGUUGGCGGGGUAACGGCCCACCAAGCCUUCGAUGGAUAGGGGUUCUGAGAGGAAGGUCCCCCACAUUGGAACUGAGACACGGUCCAAACUCCUACGGGAGGCAGCAGUGAGGAAUAUUGGUCAAUGGACGAGAGUCUGAACCAGCCAAGUAGCGUGAAGGAUGACUGCCCUAUGGGUUGUAAACUUCUUUUAUACGGGAAUAAAGUGAGGCACGUGUGCCUUUUUGUAUGUACCGUAUGAAUAAGGAUCGGCUAACUCCGUGCCAGCAGCCGCGGUAAUACGGAGGAUCCGAGCGUUAUCCGGAUUUAUUGGGUUUAAAGGGAGCGUAGGCGGACGCUUAAGUCAGUUGUGAAAGUUUGCGGCUCAACCGUAAAAUUGCAGUUGAUACUGGGUGUCUUGAGUACAGUAGAGGCAGGCGGAAUUCGUGGUGUAGCGGUGAAAUGCUUAGAUAUCACGAAGAACUCCGAUUGCGAAGGCAGCUUGCUGGACUGUAACUGACGCUGAUGCUCGAAAGUGUGGGUAUCAAACAGGAUUAGAUACCCUGGUGGUCCACACAGUAAACGAUGAAUACUCGCUGUUUGCGAUAUACAGUAAGCGGCCAAGCGAAAGCGUUAAGUAUUCCACCUGGGGAGUACGCCGGCAACGGUGAAACUCAAAGGAAUUGACGGGGGCCCGCACAAGCGGAGGAACAUGUGGUUUAAUUCGAUGAUACGCGAGGAACCUUACCCGGGCUUGAAUUGCAACUGAAUGAUGUGGAGACAUGUCAGCCGCAAGGCAGUUGUGAAGGUGCUGCAUGGUUGUCGUCAGCUCGUGCCGUGAGGUGUCGGCUUAAGUGCCAUAACGAGCGCAACCCUUAUCGAUAGUUACCAUCAGGUUAUGCUGGGGACUCUGUCGAGACUGCCGUCGUAAGAUGUGAGGAAGGUGGGGAUGACGUCAAAUCAGCACGGCCCUUACGUCCGGGGCUACACACGUGUUACAAUGGGGGGUACAGAAGGCAGCUACACGGCGACGUGAUGCUAAUCCCGAAAGCCUCUCUCAGUUCGGAUUGGAGUCUGCAACCCGACUCCAUGAAGCUGGAUUCGCUAGUAAUCGCGCAUCAGCCAUGGCGCGGUGAAUACGUUCCCGGGCCUUGUACACACCGCCCGUCAAGCCAUGGAAGCCGGGAGUGCCUGAAGUGCGUGACCGCAAGGAGCGCCCUAGGGUAAAACCGGUGACUGGGGCU
rnacentral:rRNA from 1 species